UACGGGGGGGGCAAGCGUUGUUCGGAAUUACUGGGCGUAAAGGGCUCGUAGGCGGCCAUCUAAGUCAUACGUGAAAUCCCUCAGCUUAACUGGGGAACUGCGUGUGAUACUGGAUGGCUUGGAUUUGGGAGAGGGAUGCGGAAUUCCAGGUGUAGCGGUGAAAUGCGUAGAUAUCUGGAGGAACACCGGUGGCGAAGGCGGCAUCCUGGACCAAUAUUGACGCUGAGGAGCGAAAGCCAGGGGAGCAAACAGG
rnacentral:rRNA from 1 species